AAACCAUGAUUGGGAUAUUGGGUUAGAUAGGACUUGAACCGAUCCCAAGCACUGUGUAGUUGUUCGCCCGGUAAUUGCUUGAACUCAAAGAUUUUGUCUCGGAGUUC